CUGACCUCAUAUCGGGCGAAAGGU
rnacentral:rRNA from 1 species